CACUUACUUGGAUCGAUCUGCGGUUUCUCUCCGUUUGCCUCACUUUCUCCAUUGCUUUCAGAGAAUGCGCCUUCGUGGCUUUGCUUAUCCCUAUCAACUGGAGGAGAACCACAAGCAUAAUCAGAGAGAGACAAAGUCGGACUAUUUUAUAUCAAAAUUAAUCAUCCCAUCAGUGGGUCGUGUUCUCCGCGAAAAAAAAAUCCCGCCACCCUUGUGAUCGGAGACCUUCACAUAAAAUGAUACAAUAACUGAAGCAAUAAAAAGAGCAAAAUAGUA